ACUAUUUCACAAAUUAAUCCCCACCCCAACCAGUCACUGUUUCUAUGAGUGCAGCGAGAUGAUGGCAGCUGCAAACCCCUCAAAGACCAUAAAAAUAAGAUGAUAUUGGAAAAAGCAAAGUUUGCCUGAUUUCCAGUGUAUGAUGAGGAUGAUAUUUUAUUUUAUUUACUCAGUUUAGCUCCUUCUAAGAGUUUCUUCACUAUAAGAUGAUCAACAUGUCUUUCCUUAAUCACUCUAGUAAUUUUUGAUCCAAUCCUGCAAAGUGUCAGCCAACAUCCAAGGAUUCCCAGAAGUCCUCCAUGAAUGGGACAGAGUCCUGCAUGGAGUUCAGUCUGUCCAUUCUAGCCUGUGCUGAUUUAGCAAGGUAAGCCUGUGCUGGAGGCAACUUUAAAGCUUUUUAAUCUUACAAUCCUUGAUUACUUAGACACAGGAAAAACUGUUGUUUGAAGCUGAUCCAAGUAGGGGGAGGAGGAGAGACCUGGCAGAUGUCAAUUUGAGCCCUAGGAAUAACAGUCUCCCCCAAGCAAUCUAACUCAUCAAGCUAGUAGUUACUUAGUCUGAUCCUGCAGUGCCUUGUGUUUUAUUUCUGUUUGGGUCUUCCUGAGAAAAGACUCUAAAAAGGAAAAAGAAAAAAAAAACAACCGUGGAAAGCAAAACAUACAUAGUCAACUAUCUGCAAAUUUCUGGCACAGUCAAGCCUAUAGUGAAAAGUCAGCAAUGCAAAUGAUUCACUGAUUGUGAGAAUAUUUUGUGUGACACAAGCACUGUGAUCUGUGUCUGCUAUUAAAUUGAUAGACAAGAUUCCACUUAUCUCAGAAAGUCCAGGUUUGAACGGUAGCUCAGUGGUUGCAACUGGAGCGGCAACUUGUGGGCCACUGACCAACAGUCGUACAAUGACACGUCAAUAAAAUAAAUCAGUCAAAAGAAAUAGAACAAACAAAUUCAGCAUGACUGUAAUCUGUGCUGAUGGCUCCCUCAGGUGAUCCCACCACCAUAUCUGAUUUUUGUUCCAUUAGGUGGGAAAGUCUUUUAAUGUUUGGUGCCAUCAGAUACUCUGGUCUUGUAGUGUACUGGGAAGGAAAAAAAAAAGAAGAAAAGAGGAAUGGUGCCAGGAACAUCCAGAAGUGAAAUCUUAACUCCAGUAAACUAUAUGGGAGUUUUACCUGAUAGCACUGUGUCCAGAAAUUUGGUGUGGCCUAGAACACAGGGUGUUAUCAGGUCCUCAUACAGAGAGGGAACAAAGAGUUACACUAAUAAAAACCCCCAACACUAAAAUACUGCCUUUUUCUUCCAGACACAAGAUGGACAAGUUCAUAUUUUUACUUCCGAUGGUAAAAGAGCUGUGGUUAUUUUGACCACAUCAAGCACAGGGCCUCUGGGAAUUUUUUCUGGGUGAUGGCAUAACCCAACCACAUUUAACUCUUUAUGGAAGUGAUGCCCUGAAGAAUUUUCAGGCAGUUUUUAUACUUCUAAGGAUGAGAACUAAGACUGACAUGUGGGUCUGUGGGUAUGAAAUAACAUUUAAAUACUUUUUAUAGAUAUUUAAUGUAAGUACUUCCACUGGCUCUUUGAUGAUACCUACGAAGCAUGAGAUGAAAAUCUGUAACUUAACUUGGCACAGGUAACUCAGAUUCCUGGUGAAAUCAGAUACUGCAUAUGUUUGCAGCUUCACACAAGGUUUUCCAUUCCCAGAUUUGACACAUUCUGGAGGGAAGAGACAUUUGGAGUCUUUUAGAUGCUCAUUUUUUUAACUAUGAAUUUUGUCUCAUUACUGAGAAAUUGAACUUAUGGCUACUGAACUAUGGAGUUUUCUCUGAUCUAAGUCAAAAUUGACAUCUAUGUGAUUGUGUCAAACUAGUCCUUAGAAGCUGUAAAUCUCUGAAAAUCAUCAGGCCUUGAAAAAGGGCUAGAAGUGCAAAGGCUGACUCGGUGGCAGGGACAAGAAGGGGGGAACACAGUGAGCUAAUUCACAGUGCUGAUGUGCAUGGUUACAAAUUUUCACCAGAAACAUUUUUUUUCAGAUUUUGAAAGAAAACAUUCUUUUUUUUUUCUUUUUUUUUUUUUUGGUAGCAAAAUAAAUUAGGUGGCACAGAAAGAAACACUUGACAAACUUGACAGGACAGUUACUGCUCCUUUACAGCAACAUCCAUCUCAUGCAUGAUCUGAAUUCUGGACAAAGAAAGUACCGCUGAAAGAGAAAGAAAAAUCUUGCUUUUAAGUUUGGACACCCCUCAGCCAAGCCAUUCACUGUCCUUUUUGGGGGUAAGGGGAUGGAGGAGGGAAGGCAAAUGCUGUGCUAAAAGCAUUUUAUGAAGUGUGUUUUUCUCAUGUCUUCUGCAUAAAGGCAGCACCAUUUAUAACCCAAAGUCUUUGUUUUGGUUUUGGCCCCAAGUAUUCACUGGCAAAGUUCUGAAAAACAACAGUGGGACUAACAAGACCAAAAAAAAAAAAACAUGUAGGAAAAACAAGGAAAUAAAACCAGACCAUAGUGCUGGAGAUGUAUAGAUAAAAGACCCACCACAGCAUCUGAAUUUUAACUCACCAAAACCAGAAAUGUACAACAGUGCAGCAAUUCUUUUGCACAGAGAGCAAAGCUGCUUGAGAUAUUACUUUCACCCACUGACAGGGAAUACAAUUUAUUUGUGAUUUUUGAUCUUAUACAUUAAAAAAAAAACAAAACAAAAUUCUCCUGGAAAAGCAGAAUUGGUGCUAAUGUUAAGGUAAUGCUGUAGCUCUUCAGUCCAGGAACGCAUUUCUUAUUUGUACUCAAGCCAAGUUCGUUCACUUAUCUUUUCACUAAAGCCACAGCCUUUUGAAGAUGUUGCACUUGGACUUCCUUCCUGCCAAGUUUCUAAAUUACGAUGUGCUGUGUCCAUGAGAAACUGAAUGAGUUUUAUUAGGUGCCAGAAUGUUUCACCCUCCACCACAUCAGGUCCAGGGCAGAAGUAGUGCAUGAAAAGACACUGUCAAUACAUUCUGUCCCUCAAAUGUAUAAAGAUUUUCUUUUCCCUCUCCCAACACUGAUUGUAAAAACAUUGAAAAUAUCUUGAAAGAAAAUGUUUAUUGAUCUCUCAAAUCUCCUGGUGCACUUUCACUCAAAAAGAACAUCUGUCUACAUCUCCUGCCACUCUUUUGUUUUCAAGGUAGGCUACACACUGCAGAAAGCUCUACCAGUGAAAUAUAAGCUAUCAUUUGUAGCUUUAUUGAUGAAGGGUUUAUUGAUUGGGGAUUGGCUAGACAGGUUAAACAGAAAAUCAAACACAAGGUUUUUUUCCACUGUAUUGAAGAAGAAAGCCUAUCAAAGAAGUCCACUGUGUUCCUGUUUUGGAGUUAUCUGUGGGAGAACAUGCCCAUUUAGCUGCUUUCUUGUUGGCAUUGCUGUCCUGAAUCUCCCUGCCUUUAGACACAAGCCCAGCUCUCCCACUAUGUUGUUGAUUUUGAUCCCUUGGACGAAAGGCCACCUGGGUGGUAGUUCUGCAAUUCAAAUCAUCACGGUGUUGUAUGAUGUAAUACUUCUUCAGAGCUGGGGGGAAGCCAGUUUUUUCAUUCUACCCUUUUGGCUCUUUUUUGUUGAUAAUUAAGCUUUCACAAAUUUUGUAAAAUAUUCCAUAAAAUACUGAGAUGGCAUUAUUAUUAGAUAAAUAUAAUUACUUAUAUUAAAAUGUUAUUAAUAACUGGCAGUAAUUUCCAUUUCAUAUCAUGCCUUGAGACAGCACAUUUUCCCUCAUGUGAUGUAGGAAAUAACCUUUAUACAGUCAGUAUUACUGUGUGGUAAUGUUGGCUUUAUUAUGGAGACCACAGUUCAUUAGGGAGCCUGAUCACUUCUUUAACAGAACACUUUGCCUUUAUUCUGAGGUGAUUUAAACCUACAAAAGUGAGAAGCUCCACAUGGAAAGCAGGAACUUUGUGUGCAGAGCACGAAGUAGGAGAAAGCACUUGCAUUUUUGAAUGGGACACAGGUCAGGAAUAGUAUUGCAUACACUCAGCUUUUCCUUAGGCACAGUAGGACCACAAACUGAAACCCUCCUAGAGAGAAUACAGAAGGGUCUUUGAAAAGCUCAAUUCGUUAAACAUUUGUUCCUAAUCACCCAAACGACUUUAACCAUUUUCACAAAUGCAAAUUGCCAUUAUCCUCUGCUAGCCAGAAUAGGACUUCAUGAUUUAAUGCAAAUUGGUCAUGUCCCACAGGCACAGUUGGAUUUUUAAAGUAUGAGGAUUGAGUUGCUUCUCAAAAUGUCAGCAGGUAAAAUAAAUUUGCCCAGGAAAUUUAUUAACAAUUGACACUUUCUCCCUCCUGUUCGUCAUGAAAGGCAGUUCUGACACUGAAAAGACUGAACACAGUGUAUGUAUGGUGGAUGUGAAUAGUUCCUUAUUACCCUAUCAGCAUCAUGUCAAUAGAGAAGCUAGGAAAAUCAAUUUUCCUUUUAAAUACUAGAACACUAGUGAGGGCAGUGCAGCAGAGUGAGAUUUGUCACCAAUUUCAGAGAUGCCAGUAUUUCAACCAGUUUGUAUUGGGAUUUUCUCAAAGAUUGAAUUCUAUUCUCAGACUCUGAAAUAGAUUCCUCUUCUUUUCAAUAUUGUAUUUUGCUACAUUUUUAUGUUCUGCUUUGAUUGUUUAGACAAAGGUGAUAUCUAAAGGUGAUAUCUAAACCAGCUGGAAAGUAUCCACCAGAGUCUCCCCUCUAGGGUGAAUUUAUCUCAAACACAUCAAACAUGGCAGAUGAUAAAAUUUCUGUUUGCUGAAGUGCAAAUUGUUGAGAAGAUCCAGUUUCAGAAUGUGGUAAUUACAGCCCCUAAAGGAUGUAAAGUAUCAGCCAACACUUAGGUGGUGUUUCAUAGUCCAUGAAAUAAUCUCAAAAAUUAUCUCAAAAAGCUCCUCUAGGUAAUUCCUUCUAGCUGAACUUGACCAGAUUUCCUAGAUUUACCAGAGCACUGGAAGAGCAGAGGACUCUGAAGAAGUGGAGGAACCCAUCAAUAGGGUGCCAUCAGCCUCCUGAUGCUUUGUGCCUCAUCCCACCUUCUUGUUCUCCCUGGGAGCUGCCUCUUGCUCCUUCUGAACAGGUUUUUGGAGUUCUUGUCCUGAUGCCCACACCACCCUGACUGUGCUGUUCCAUUCAAGCCAUGGGAUGCAAAAGAUUAAAGCUAAUUUAAGAUGGGAGCUCUCAAGCACAGCCUGUAAUCCCAGUUCUGCUGCAGGCUUCUUGAGGAUGAUGCAACACUGUGAGAGACCUGAAAACCGGCCAGUUCCAGGCUCCCAGCCUUUGUCUGUUUCUUGGAAGCACAGCUCACUCAUUAAGCAUCCCUGGAUUUUGCAGGCAACCAUGCCUGUCUGGAACAUGUCUAAGACAAGAAGAUUCACCUUCCAGUGGAACUGGACUCUGGAGAGAGUGAGCAGAAAAACCUCUGGCAGAUUGCCCUGUGUGGUUGUAAAUGAAUGUACUAUUUCCUUUUCAUAUUACAGUACCAGGAGCUGAAACGGAGAAAAAAAAAGAAAAAGAAAUUGCUCUUUUGCCAUGGAGAGCACAUUUGAGCAAGGCAACCCAAUGAAACACUGGCCUAAACCCAUAUUUUUUUAAAUUAUAAAACCAUGGUUAGGGUUUUAAUGCAGUAUAACUCCAGCAGCUAUACAGAUGUUAUCAUACCCACCUAGUUUAUUACAUGAAAACUGUAGUAAACCUGUCAUGAUUGCAGGAACACUAGACUCAAAUACUAGGUCCUGUAGUAAUAAUAUGGUAAAACAUACCAAAGCGUAGUUUUAAUCUGUCAUCAACCAAAUUUAUUGGACAGAAUGUGGCUUGAGAGCACUGAAACCCCUAGAACAGUGUUUUGAUGAUUGGGCACAAUUUUUAAUGAGUUAUUUUAAUUUUCAGAAAGUGUUUCAGUAGCACUAGAGAUGAUGCUUAAUGAGCUAAAGGCGUGAAAGAUCUGGAGGCUGAAUUUGCUCUGACAUGUCAUGGUGUACACAUAAAUUUUAUGUCUGUUGUGUUUGCAGAUUGACAGUGCUUUGGAGUCUACAAAAAGUAAAGCAGUAAUGAGGAAUUAGGAAGGAAUUAUUUUUCACACCUACCAGCAGCUGUGAAUCCUUCCUCUUGUGUAACCAGGACGUGCUACAAUACCAAAUUAUAAAAAAAGCUUCAAGUGGAAAACAAAUGACAAGUAAUAUAUAGACAUAGACAAAUAACUGAUGUUUGUUUUCAUCAUUACUGCUUUAAUACUUUAGGCUCAUCUGAGUUUUGCCCCUUAUUGUCUGUUAUACAGGGAAGUAAUCCCAAAAGUCUUGUACUUAAAACCUUGGCUAUGACCCACUUUCUCCUGUAGGCCAGAUGACACAGCACCUGUAAAAAGUCCAAGGAAUUAGCUAAGAACUCACUGUGCUGGAGGAAAUUACAAAAGGUUGGUGAUAACUAAGAUGAAAUGGUGUGUCAGCCUACAGACAAUACUACGUCUUCCUCUUUUCACCUCUUCUUUAUGGGUUACUGGCAAUAUUAACUGAAGCAAGAUAAGUGUCUAAAACUGGAUAUGAAUAUAUGCAUUUAAACUAACAUGAAUGAUAAUAUGUACUUAAGCACUCACAGUCAUCAUGUGGUGCCCUCUCCAAGGUCUGUGAGCACAUUUGCAGGUGCUGCUGAAGUGCUUGUGCUUGAAAUUGGCAGUAAAGUCAAAUAAAUGCGUGUCUGCAAAGAGACUAAAUAAAAUAACUGCAAACAUUUUAAGCUAAACCUUUAGAAUAUGGUGGUAAACAGCCUGCAGUCAUGGGGCAGUGACUGAAAUAAGGAGCGGGUUUCUUAUUGCACUUGGUGUCAUUAUAUUCACUUUAUACCCUGCAGUUAUCCUUUGGAGAUUACAAAGGUAGAAAGAGGCUGUGGAGAUUAUCUGCUGAGGCUCUCUGAGGCUGUGAGAAAGUCAGCUUGUUGGGAAUAUCGUGUGUCUGUUUGGAGGGGUUCUGGCAAUGAGCUAGUGAAGGAAAGCGGGAGAGAGCCUGGCUCUGUGCAGCUCACCUCUUCCCUACUCACUUCUCGUUUCCUCCAUGGACCCUGGAGCCCAGGCAGGGUCCUCAUCCCUUGGAUGCACAUAUUUUGAUGGUUCUAUCAGUAGUAUGUCAUAGCAAACUCUUUUUGCCUGCUGAAUUAAGAUUGGAAUGGAAGGCUGAGGGGUUGGCUGUAGAUGUUUUGAUGUCAGCCUGUAAAAACAAAGCUGUUGUCUGCAAAGAAUAAACUGUAUUCCUUCAAAUCUG